UACGUAGGGUGCAGGCGUUAAUCGGAAUUACUGGGCGUAAAGCGUGCGCAGGCGGCUCUUUAAGUCAGAUGUGAAAGCCCCAGGCUCAACCUGGGAAGUGCAUUGGAUACUGCGGAGCUUGAAUCUGGAAGAGGGUCGCGGAAUUCCCGGUGUAGAGGUGAAAUUCGUAGAUAUUCGCAAGAAUACCAGUGGCGAAGGCGGCUCACUGGCCCAUAACUGACGCUGAGGCACGAAAGCGUGGGGAGCAAACAGG
rnacentral:rRNA from 1 species